CAUUUUGCGUUGAUUGGGAGUAGUAGAGGAUCUAAUUAUAACAGAGAGCUGUUGGUUGGUGUGAAACAGUAUAAGAUGACCUUGAACUCGCCCAGGAGCUCUUAAGAUGGAACGGAAUUCACUUCUUAUUAUAUCUUAACGCAUAACCUCCGUUAGAAGGUUUGUACGUGAUGUACAAGUAAAGUGGAUUUUAAUCGAUGAAUUAAAAUCAAAAAGAGUGGUACCGCGGAGGUCAGCUGGCCUAACGUCUCUUGU
rnacentral:ncRNA from 1 species